rnacentral:lncRNA from 1 species
GGGGGCGAGAUAGUUUCAAAAUGUAGUUCUAGGGUACGGGUUAGGGAUCAGUUUAUUUUAAAAAAUGACUUUGACUAUAAAUGCCCGACUGCGGGUCAAUUUACAGAAGCCGAAGCUUUCCUGUCUACAGGCGCAAGUCACUGUGAGUGACCCACUGGAGUGACCUAGCUCUUUCAGUUCUACGACCUACAAUCGCGUGCAAAAAUUGUUGAGACAAGCGGUUUAUUGCCCCUCUCCCUCCUGUAACAAUGGUUUCCCCCCCCCCUCCCUCUUGUGCAAUGUUGUUAAUACAAUUUUGAGGUCAGGGCUUAUCAAAUAAUAUGUUUUCAACAUUGUUAGUGGGGGGAGGGGGGCACGCACGUGAAAAAAAUCACCAAAAUGUGAAGAGUCUCAUUAUUUUUGCACGCGAUUGUCUAUGUAGUUUCGAGUAAUGAUAAUUCUAAUACGGUUAUUUCGCUUUGCUGUAAAUAAGAAGCAUAACAGCCUUUGCUUACUGUUACUAUGUGUUUGGCGUGUGCCUAAGGAUUUUCCCUACAGUGU